rnacentral:rRNA from 1 species
GAUGAACGCUGGCGGCGUGCCUAAUACAUGCAAGUCGAGCGAACAGACGAGGAGCUUGCUCCUCUGACGUUAGCGGCGGACGGGUGAGUAACACGUGGAUAACCUACCUAUAAGACUGGGAUAACUUCGGGAAACCGGAGCUAAUACCGGAUAAUAUAUUGAACCGCAUGGUUCAAUAGUGAAAGACGGUUUUGCUGUCACUUAUAGAUGGAUCCGCGCCGCAUUAGCUAGUUGGUAAGGUAACGGCUUACCAAGGCGACGAUGCGUAGCCGACCUGAGAGGGUGAUCGGCCACACUGGAACUGAGACACGGUCCAGACUCCUACGGGAGGCAGCAGUAGGGAAUCUUCCGCAAUGGGCGAAAGCCUGACGGAGCAACGCCGCGUGAGUGAUGAAGGUCUUCUGAUCGUAAAACUCUGUUAUUAGGGAAGAACAAAUGUGUAAGUAACUAUGCACGUCUUGACGGUACCUAAUCAGAAAGCCACGGCUAACUACGUG